GUAGACAUAAUCAUGAAGAGUAUUUUGCCAUUGCGGGGAAUAUUGAUGACUUUGUCUUCUUGUUAAUACUCCACGUACACUGACCUAACAAGUGUGGAAUACAAGAUUGUGUUUAAGAAUAAUGCUUUUGAACAUGAUAAAUGAACAUGAUAAAUGAAUUCCGUAACACUUUUAUUUAGAGGGAUGGGGUGUAUGUUGUUUUAAGGUACAAGCAUCCUUGAUCAGCUAUCUUCACUCUAUUUUUUUAGCAAUGGGUUAGCCUAGUGGUUAAAGUGUUGGCUCUCCACACUGAAGACCCGGGUUCGAUUCCCUACAUGGGUACAGUGUGUGAAGCCCAUUUUCUGGUUUCCCCUGCCAUGAUAUGGUUGACUGUGUGUCCCUGCCUCUAUGGUUGACUGUGUGUCCCUGUUUCUAUGGUUGACUGUGUCCCUAGCUCUGUGGUUGAAUGUGUGUUCCUGACUCUAUGGUUGACUGUGUGUCCCUGGCUCUAUGGUUGACUGUGUGUCCCUAGCUCUAUGGUUGACUGUGUGUCCCUAGCUCUGUGGUUGACUGUGUGUCCCUGACUCUAUGGUUGACUGUGUGUCCCGUGCUCUAUGGUUGACUGUGUGUCCCUAACUCUAUGGUUGACUGUGUGUCCCGAGCUCUAUGGUUGACUGUGUGUCCCGAGCUCUAUGGUUGACUGUGUGUCCCUAGCUCUAUGGUUGACUGUGUGUCCCUAGCUCUAUGCUUGACUGUGUGUCCCUGACUCUAUGCUUGACUGUGUGUCCCUAGCUCUAUGCUUGACUGUGUGUCCCUAGCUCUAUGCUUGACUGUGUGUCUAGAGCUCCAUGGUUGACUGUGUGUCCCUAGCUCUAUGCUUGACUGUGUGUCCCUAGCUCUAUGGUUGACUGUGUGUCCCUAGCUCUAUGCUUGACUGUGUGUCCCUAGGUCUAUGCUUGACUGUGUGUCCCUGGCUCUGUGGUUGACUGUGUGUCUGGAGCUCUAUGGUUGACUGUGUGUCCCUAGCUCUAUGCUUGACUGUGUGUCCCUAGGUCUAUGCUUGACUGUGUGUCCCUGGCUCUGUGGUUGACUGUGUCUCCCUGGCUCUAUGCUUGACUGUGUGUCCCCAGCUCUAUGGUUUACUCUGUAUCCCUAGCUCUAUGGCUGAUGUGUGUCCCUAGCUCUAUGGUUGACUGUGUGUCCUUGACUCUAUGGUUGACUGUGUGUCCCUGGCUGCUUGUACUAGUUUGAAGUAUGCUGUUUUAUAGCACUAGCCCAGUGAGAUUGCAUGCCCCUGUUUAACAUGGAUGCCCUAUUCAGCUACAGUAUACUGACAGUAGCCAGUAGUCUCUUGUGUCCCUGAUUAUUGCUGAGCAUGGGGCAGGGCAACAACAUGUACUCUUAAUGUCUUCUGGUAUGAUCAGACGGAGAUUAAACCACCUCCCUUCCUGUCUCUCCAGCUAGAUUCUCUACACGCUAGACAAGGUGAUCUCAUUGCUUUACGUAGCAUAAACUUUGGGUCACUCCUACACUGUGUGUUCAUGGGUGCAGUAAAAAAGGGUACACAAAUAAAUUAAUGCUGUAUUGUGGGUGGAUAAUAUUUGUAGUUUUAUCUUUUAAAAUGUUAAAUGGAUUGUCCUCAUUGUUUAUAUGUGAACUACAUUAUAGAGAUUAGCUGUGAAUCAAAACAUAAGGCAUGUGUUGAUCUUACACUUAUAAAUAUUGUGUUGAUAUUAUGUUUCUUUCAUGUCAUAUCUUUACGUCACACAUAAACUCACACAUUAACAUGGUAAUGAACUAUUUGUUUUUACUUUAAAUAAGAGCAGCAGAUUGUAAUUAUUCAUUGGCAGGUAUCACUGAUAGAAAAACAGUUGAUUUUACUGGUAACUUUCAUUAAUUGAUUGUGAAUAUUGGCAGCUGAAUGGUGUUUGUAUAUACAGCAGCAAAUUUGUUAAUAGGAUAUUUUAUACAAGUUAAGUGUUCUUGCCUUUUUAUUACUUUUAUGCUUUUCUUUCCAAUAAAGUCAGCAAUGCA